GGGGGCGUAGCUCAGUUGGGAGAGCACCUGCUUUGCACGCAGGGGGUCAGGAGUUCGAAUCUCCUCGUCUCCACCA
rnacentral:tRNA from 1 species